rnacentral:lncRNA from 1 species
AAAAAAAAAAAAAAUGUGAUUGAGAUUUUGAGAGGAAUUGCCCUGAAUCUGUAGACAGCUUUCAGUAGUAUUGAUGUUUGAACAAUAUGAAGCCUUCAAGUUCAUGAAAAUGAGAUGUGCUUCCAUUUAUGUACGUCCUCUUUAAUUCAACAGUGUUUUGUAGUUUUCAUUGUACAGGUCUUUUCUCUUUGGUCAAGUCAGUUCUAAGCAUUCUAUUCUUUUUUUGAUACUGUUGUGAAUGGAAUAGUUUUUAUGAUUUCCUUUUCAGAUUGUUCAUUAUUCUUGCAUAGAAAUGAAACUGAAUUUUGUGUAUUGACUUUGUAUCAUGAUACUUAUGAGAUUAUUUAUUAGAUCUAACAGUUUUGUGAAAUCAUUUGGAUUUUCUAUUUAAAAGAUUAUAUCAUCCACAAACAUGAUUUUACUUGUUCCUUUUAAAUUCAGAUGCCUUUUUUGGGUGGAUAAUUUUCAGCUGUGUCACUGAGCCUUAGUAAUUUUACUAAUCCUCUUUGAAUAGAAUUUUUUUUAACUUUAAUUUCUCUUUCUUACUUAAUUGCUCUGGCUAGAACUUCCGGCACUAUGCUGCUUGGAAGUGCUGCAAGUAGUGCUGAAAGUAGUCAUCCUUAGCUUGUUCCCCAUCUUAGAGGAAACACUGUCAGUUUUUCACCAUUGAGGAUGAUGUUUGGUUGGGUUCUUCAUAUAUGGACUUUAUUAUGUGGAGGAGAUUCCUUUUAUUUCUAGGUCACUGAGUGCUUUAUCAUGCAAGGAUGUUCAGUUUUAUAAAAUGCUUUUUCCGUGUCAAUUGAGGUGAUCAUGUGGGUUUUUUCUUUCAUUUUGUUCACGUGGCUUAUUACAUUGGUCAGUUUUCUUAUAUUGAACCAUCCUUGCAUUCCAUGAAUAAAUUCCAUUUGGUUUAUUUUUAAGAUUUUGCAUCAGUGUUUGGCUAGGUUUGGGUUUAGUUUGCUUUUUUUUCUAGUUUCUUAAGUUGUAAAGUUAGGUUGUUAAUUUGAGAUUUUUCCUGUUUGUUAAUGUAAGUGUUUAUAGCUAUCAGUUUCCCCAUUGGUACCAUGUUCACUGUGUCCUGUAAGUUUGAUGUGUUUUCAUUUUUGUCUCUCUCAGUAUUUUAUAAUUUCCCUUGUGGGUUCUUCUUCAAUACAUUAGUGCUUUAAAAGUGUGUUGUUUAAUUUCUGCAGUUUUAUGAAUUUUCCAGUUUUCCUUCUGUUUUUUCUAACUUCAUCCCAUUGUGGUUAGAGAGGAUACUUUGUAUGACAGCUAUCUUUUAAAAUCUAGUAAGACUUAGGAGUUCCCGUCAUGGCGCAUUUUGCUGGAUAUAGGACUCCUGUGUUGAUAGUUUUUUUUUCUCUGACCACUUUGAAUAUGUCAGCCUACUCUCUGCUGGCCUCCAAAGUUUCUGAUAAGAAGUCUGCUGAUAAUCUUAUUGAGGAUCCCUUGUGCAUGAGGAUUUACUUCUAACUUACUGACUUCAAGAUUCUCUUGGUCUUUUUUUUUAAAGUUUGAUUAUAAUAUGUUUUGGUGUGGGUAUCUUUGAAUUAAUCUUACUUUGAGUUUGUUGAGCUUCCUGGAUAUUUUAUUUUUUUCAUGGAUCAUAUACAUAUGUCCAUUUAUUUAUGGAGAGCUUCCUGGAUAUUUUAACAUGUAUUUUUAUGUGGGAAAAAGUCAAUGUGCACAGGAGAAUUAUGAUAGGACAUCUUUUAAAAAAUAGUGUAUCAUUUUUGUCUGACUAGAGGAUAGCUCUAAAUAUAUGACAGUGGGAUUAAGGAAUUGUUUCUUAUUUUGUGGAUUUCAGUUGUUUAGAUUUUGCUAACAAAUAUGCAUUGCUUCCCACCUCCUUUAGAGAGAGAGCUUACAGAAUUAUAAAAGCAAAACAUUAAAAUCAUUUAAAUAAUAUAGAAGUAAGUGAAGUGCAUAUCUCACUUCCACUCCCCAGGGAUAAUCUCUUCUGGUUGAUGGUUUGUCUUUUCAGAAAAUUAGGUGCUGGUAGUAGGCAAAUGAAAGAAACAAAAUACAUCAAAAUUGGAAAGAAAACUGUCACCAUUCACAGUUGAUGUGAUCGUAUGUGUUGAAAACGGAGCAAGAUUUAUAGUAGAACUAUUAGAACUAAAACAUGAACUUAGCAAGGUUUCUAGACACAGGAUCAGUACACAAAAAGAUCAGUUAUAUUUCUACUUACUAGCAAAAGUCAAAUAAAAGUAAAAAUUUUAGAUACCAUUUAAAAAUAAAAUAUAUAAGAAUAAAUCUAUUGGCACAGCCCUGGAAAUCAACUAUAAUAAAAUUUUUUUAAGAAGAAUAAAUCUAGCAAAGAAUUUGUAUGAUCUCUAUGCUGAAAACUAUAAAACAGUACUAAAAAAAUUAAAGACGCCCUAAAGCAGGGAUUUACCAUGUUCGUGGAUUGAACAACAUCUUGAACUGUUAUUAAGAUGUCAGUUCUUCCCAAAUUGAUCUUAUGGAUUGACAUCCCAAUCAAAAUCCCAAUAGGCCAUUUGGAGAAGUGGGUGGAAAUUGGCAAGCUGAUUGUAAAACAUAAAUAUAAAUGCAAAGGACCCUGGAACCGCCAGAAUAAUCUUGAAGAAGAAGAAAGCCCGAGGACUUACACUGUAUAGGAUCCAGACUUAGUUUAGCUGUAGCUGUUGGUACAAAAGCAGAUCAGUAGACCAGUGCAGUAGAAUAGAAGGUCCAGAAACAGACCC